CCCAGUAUUAUUGUACUGCUUAA
rnacentral:miRNA from 14 species